rnacentral:rRNA from 1 species
AUUCCAGCUCCAAUAGCGUAUAUUAAAGUCGCUGCAGUUAAAAAGCUCGUAGUUGGAUUUGUGGCGCGGCCGUCCGGCGGGGCUCUUUCAUUAGGGCCGUUUGUCCGGUUUUUCGGCCGCUCCAUUCUCGGGUAGCGUGUCGCUGGCAUUAGGUUGUCGGCUUCUUCGCGCCCGUCGGUUACUGUGAAAAAAUUAGAGUGUUCAAAGCAGGCUUAGGCCGUUGGAUACAUUAGCAUGGAAUAAUGAGAUAGGGCCACGACGGUCUAUUUUGUUGGUUUGCACGUUGUGGUAAUGAUUAACAGGAACGGUUGGGGGUAUUCGUAUUCAAUUGUCUGAGGUGAAAUUCUUGGAUUUAUGGAAGACGAACUACUGCGAAAGCAUUUACCAAGGAUGUUUUCAUUA